GGUUCCUCGAAUUCAACGGAGAAUUGAAAGUGAUUAUUUUCACAUUGAAAUAAUAAUUAUUUGCAACUACGGUCUCUCAUUAUAUCGCCGUGAAAAUGGAAAAUUGUCGCAGUUGGACAAAAAUGUUUCUUCACCUGCACGUAUGACAAAAUAACGAGUCACAAUACAGUAAUUCAAGGUUUUGGAAUACCAAGUGCACGAAUGACUUACGUAAUACCUGAUAUGAAAGAGAAGUAUUGUUAAUCAUUUCACGAGAAAGGCUAUCAACGUUUAUUAAUGCAAACAGUCGAUAUAAAGCUAGAUAGGGAGAUUUUGGAUAGAGAUAUCGCUAGAUCGAUGGAAUCUCUUUUUCACGGUGAAAUUAAAAGAUUCAGGGAAGGCAAAGGUUGUCGAGUAGCUCGUCAGGGUCGGAAGUAGCGUUUUUCGAGGAGGGCCGCGAGCCAUUUCGCGUUGGAUUUCACGAGAUAGCAAUGAUCCAAGCGUGGAAACGGGAAUUAUGCCGGGCUGAAUCGCGAUAAGCGACCGAGAGACGUACGUUUAAUCGUGGUUAUCGCGAAGUUUACGCAUACAGGCUGGCGUAGAUUACGCGGUUGAUUUUGCACGCGCCAAGGACUAGAUGUUUCACGCUCUAGAAAUACACGCGGUGUUCCGUAAUAAACUGGUUGAAAAAAAAUUGUAAAGUCAAAAGUAUGAUGCACUCUUUCAUCUAUCUGAACUUCGUUAAAUUAAAUAAAGAUUACAUUUGAAGAAUUUACGAUCUAUCAAUCUCUGUUUUAUCUUAUCUUUAUUUGCAGACGACAUUAAUACAAUUUUUCUUCUGUUUUUAGGGAGAUAAAAUUCAGUUUCAUGAAAGGAAAAGGGUUAUUGAACGUGACAACAACAAUGUAUAGAAGAUACCGUAACUUUCUAAGAAAUGUAAUACACAAAGACGUAUUUGUCAUUCGACGGAAAAUUAAUUGUGAACGAGUUAUCGAUUGCGGCUGUCGGUGCCAGGGGUUCAUUGUGCACAUGAUUGAAGAGCCGCGGAUUUAUUUAUCGAUUUCGUCCCCUUGAUUUCACCGUCUUUCUAUUUUUAUUGGGCACCUGCGUUCUCAUAUUCCAUCUUUUAUUCAAAUACUUUUUUCAUCGUAGUUAUAUAACGGAAUCUUAUUUUUACCCGGUAGAUCGCCACGCGUUGUAUCGGCACGACUCAUCAUUUCGCAUUCUUCUGGUUUUUAACUACCGAAAUUAUUCUGGUUUCUAACCACUGAAAGUAUUCGCGGUAGUUAAAAACUGAUAUCGAAAUUAUUUUAAAAGAACCGUUAGAUCGAUGUGUCUCUAAUUCUGAUAGCUUAUCAGCCUUAAAAUCGUUUGGGACAGUCAUCGAUAUGGACCUCUGAUGUAACGAUGACGCCCAAGCGUAGUUUCGACAACGAUCAACGGGUAGAACCGUACACAGCCUCUUUCCGCCCUCGAGUGUCGUAAAUAACGUCCAGGUGAAACGAAUUGUCGAUAAAUAAAUGCUCGAGCCGUGGAUACCGUGUGACACGCGUGGGUGGACAGCAGCAGCCAGCUUGGGGAUCGUUAUUUCAUAACAGGUCGGAAUUGCUGGAGGUAUUUGGAGGACACGAGGAGCUUCUAACGGAUAUCCCUUUAUCAGAGACGACGGAAUUUUUUCGCCUAAGCAGUUUAUCCAAAGAACAUGUACACCAGCUGCACAGAGAGGCGAGAGAGCAAAGGGGAUCGAUUGGUGCUUACAUGCAUCGUCGGUUAUGUCACGAAUCGAGUGUCGCACGCGAUGAGUUCAUCGGCUACGACACUAUCGAGGAGAUGUAUCGCGGGAUGACAUCACUUUUCCGUUCGUCCGAUACUCGUUGCACAUUUCAUCUUUUUUGCUCAUCGGGGAGAUGAGUUAGAACCGCAGGAAUCUACCACCUUUAUUAUGUACCUAACUCCUGAUGCGCGAUCGCAGCGAAAGGAAACCGCAGGAACGCGAUUAUUGGCAAUCGUGUGAGUCACGUGCGCCAACUGAUUUACUAGGGAGAUUAUACUCGUAUAGCAAGAAACGCAAACACUGAAAGAGUACAAUGAAAGACAGCUAGAAAUGGAGCGAGCAUUUAGUAGGGUAAUUGUUCAUCACGCUUUUCCUUGGAAAUGAUUUGUCGCCUCUUGAUUAGAGGAUGGGUCGGGUUUCCUAGCAAACAUCGACUGUGAUGCCGUUUUCCGAGCAGAGACGUGGGAGACAGGCGUUAAGAUUCUGUGUCAAUAUCGUGGAAUAUUCUAAUUAAUUUCAUAGUCUGAGAGAGAAGCGUAUCGACAGCGUUCGUGGGUGUUGAGGAACCAGCAAAAUUACAGUGAAGUGACCAAAGAAGUGGCUUUACGAAAUGUACACGUGGGUCUAAAUGGACCCGUACAAUAUCUCCUUGUACAGGGAAGUCUAUUCGUUUCAUAAAUCUUCGAAAUUCAGCUGUAAAAUAAUCCGGUUUGAUAUACGAUUCGAAGAUUUUAGAAAGCCUUUGUACAGUAAAUCAAUUUGAAUAAAAAUUACGUUUUAGGUUAGGUUUAAAAAGGCAAGGAUAAACUCGAAUGCUAGAAUUACACAUGACAUUCUAGCACAGUCUACCGUUUGACUAGAGAAACACUUAACCCUUUGUCCUGGAAGGGCGACUCUCUAUUUUGUCUAACGCAGUCAUUCAAACGGCGCUCGAGGGUUAACUGCCAGAGAAUCGUAGAGAGUGCUUUGCUCCCUGGAUUGAUCAUUGACUCCAAUUGUUGCCCGGAAUUUGAAUAAAUCUGGAGCUGUAGCUUGUGCAGCUUGUAAAAAACAUUUAUUGCCAUAUGAAUUUUGAAGAAUUGCCUCGAAUCGAUGUAUAGUUAUUGAAGGAUGCAACAGCUCGACACCCACGGCCACGACGAUGACGAGAUCGACUUGAGCUGCCUUUUAAUUAACGGAUCGUGGGUGUUCCACGCGGCUCAAUUCGCUAGAACGUGAUACGAGGAAAUCGUGAGGCCAGCUAUUCAAUUAUGCAUCGAGAUCGCACCGGAUAGAAGAAUACAUUUUUCAAGAUUUCGGCAGAAACUUGGCAACACGCGUGAUCCGAGUUCGUUACUCCGUUUACAAAGGGGAUAUCUGUUGCUUGGGAUCUGGCCUUUGACUUCUUAUUCCGGGUGUGAGCCACGUUGCCAACUGUUGAAUUCCCUUUGGUACACGACGUUGCAGUUGUGGAGGUACCGCCAUCGAUUAACGAUACGCCGUCAAUAUCGUAUGCUCACCAUGCUCAAAUUUCAUCCCCACGAUAUUUGAUAACUUGGCAAUUUGGGAACUUGAGGAUACUUGGAAAAGUUGACAAAUUUUGAAGUUAACUCGAAUCUCUAAAUUUGAAAAUCUAAUGCCUAUAUGGAGAACCAUAUUAAGAGAGGUUAGGUUAGCCCUCUUCAGCCCCGGUUACUUCACAUGUCUGUACACUUAAAAUAGUUACGCACAGUCUUUCUCAGGCUUACGUCAGUUAUUCUAGAAUUGGUCAAGGUCUCAAGAAAUAUUUGUAGACUCCCCAGGAGGCAUUGAAUGACCCUGGCAUUACAGAAGCCUGCGGAUCAAUCGACAGAUGAAGGACGAGGUCCGUUUAUUCAACCACCAUUUAACUGCGUUAAUGAUCGCUCGAUCAGGUCCAUAAUCGCACUUACGCAAGGGUCACUCGUAAUUGGCGUUGAAGAUGGAAAUUUAAUUUGGAAUGGCGCUGUUUAUAUGGCAUUGAAAUUCUAAGAAACGUGACAUCACUUUGGAGAAUCAUUUUUCAAACUAAAGACAGAGACAACGCGUUCUCGAGGCGAGUGUUUAUGAGGCUCUCAUCAGAGGAGCGGUAGAUCAAGGAACGCAGUGAGGACGGUUUUCCUGAAACCUGGUUCAUGGCACUCGUGUAAUCUGGAUUGCGAACACGGAAGCGGGAAUCAUGAUCAGAUAACGGCCUCGGGAUGCCAGCAAGCUAAGCGGAAGUGCCGAUGAGGAAUGACGGGCGGCGCUACGGGACAAAGGAACGUUUUUGCGCGUCCAACCACGCGUGUAACCGUGUAAAAGGUGUGGCUAAUGAGUGUAUGGCUGAAGAAACAUUAAUUCUGCUGCUACCCUUGUCACCGUGCUGGAAGACGACAAACGAAAAUGACUAAAACAAUGUACAGAAAUUAAAGGGAAGGCCAAUGCACUCGCAAGGAUGUUAAGAAGAGAAUCGACAGUUCCGGAUGAAAGAUUGAAAGCUCUGAGCGGAACAGAUGUCGCCAUUGUAGAUCGACUGCAUCACGUCGGAAACAUCUUAACCUAGACGCGUGCACACACCUACGAUAAAGCUGUUACAAUAUGCAUUAGAACGCCGUUACAUGCCAAGAUAAAUGGACUCUUCAGCUAGUACUCUUGAAAACAUUGAAAAGAGGGGAAGUCAUCGAUAAAAGAGAUAUCAGAUAAAUCCUGUGGGUUCAGGAAGCCAUGAUCUUGCAGUGGACCGGAAAAGGAGAGAACUAGCGAUCCUGAUUCGAGUCACCUGUCUUCCUGCAGAACGGAACAACGAACUUUUCAACGCCAUCACCGAAAACUGAUACAGAAGUCGUCAAAGAGUAUUGGGAAAAUACGGUAACUCGCUCAAUACAGUUCAGGACAAGAAUAUCCAGUAUUUUGUAUCGACGUUAGUAACUGAAAUAACUAACGAAAUUCGGGUCAGGGAAAAGUUGUGCACUAUUAUUUUUAACCUAAUGUAGAAGUCUUGUAUGCUGGUUAAUGGAACUUGACAAUUAUUGUCUUUAUGCAAAGUACACGUGUAUGGAAAUAUUGUAAUAACUACAUAGUAUGUUAUAUGAUGAGCACAGUGUUAGUGAUGGGUAUAAACACUUUGUUUUAAAUAUAGGUUAGGUUUGAACUGUAAUAAGAAUAGGUGGAAGUUAAGGAUAUGAAACUUGACAAUUAUUGUCUUUAUGCAACGUACACGUGUAUGGAAAUAUUGUAAUAACUACAUAGUAUGUUAUAUGAUGAGCACAGUGUUAGUGAUGGGUAUAAACACUUUGUUUUAAAUAUAGGUUAGGUUUGAACUGUAAUAAGAAUAGAUGGAAGUUAAGGAUAUGAAACUUGACAAUUAUUGUCUUUAUGCAAAGUACUCGUGUAUGAAAAUAUUGUAAUAACUACACAGUGUGUUAUAUGAUGAUGUGUUAGUGAUGGGUAUAAACGAACUUUGUUUUAAAUAUAAGUUUGAACUGAAAUCAGAAUUAACACGGAUGUGACUACGCGAAGUCGGAGAAGUUCCUCAUCAGAUACGAGCUAAAUAUGCUAAGUGAAGUUAGGUAACUAUCAAUCGUUUCUGAAAUGUGUGUGUUACACAAUUGGAUCUGAAUCAAGGUCAGCGAUUACUGUAGACAUCUAUCUCAAUCGUUUUUAAUCGAGAUGACAUGGACCUUAAUUCGUCUUUGAAUUACACCAGGAAAUUAGCCCUAAAAUUGUGGAUGGAUUCUUUACAUAAGAAAUUAACUUGAAAGUGAAGGUUAAAAGGUUUGUUCGAUUCAAGAGUAGCGUUCAGGUGAAUAGAAACAACAUGUAUAUCCGAACAAAGCAGUUCUCACCCCAAAAGUGUAAACGUCCCAACGAGGGUCGGGGUCAAGCUAAAUUAAGCGACCAAAAGACAUUCUCCACCGAGCGAAAGAAUAAAUCUCGCGGAACCCGGAGAAAUAUUCAAGGAUUCGGACCAUAAUCGCACCAUGACGGAGUAAUUAAAUCCUUCGUCGAUUCGUUCGUCCGUGCAAUAUGCAUGAGCAGAUUUUUCGCCCCCCUCCGCCCCUUUAUACCGUUGGUAAGAAAGGGAACGACCACAAAGAAAGAAUAAAUUCCACCUUACGAAUAAUCUCGCCAAGAAUUUUCACGGUAUUUCAAAUGUAAACCUCUGAGCUACGAUGGAGAGGAAUUUCUUCAUCCCCCAUCCCUUAACUCCCUCUUAAUCUUUCGUUUUGCUCUUAAUCGAGUCAGUUAAUUGCGUGCUGACAAUUCGUUGCACAAUACAAAUUUACGUUUGUCCAAUCGACUGCAUUGCAAUCAUUCGUGUAUAGGGUGGCAAGUCUUCUGCAUUACGCAAAUUUACCAACAAAUCGUUUAGAGGAUUGAUCAAAGAUAUUCCGCAAUAUUUUUUACGACCCGAGCAUCAAGGAAUUUAAUGAACACGUUCCCGGAUAGUCUUUUCGCUGGCCGACGAUCAGGAACGAUUUAAUCGGUGAACAUUAAAAGCAACCCCCGUCCCUUUUACUGGAAUUUAAAAAAUUUAUGAGCCAGUAAAAACAGUCAUACGGCGAUAAUUAUUCUGGGAGAUUUACACAGAUUCAAGCAGACUAAAAACAAUAAAAAAUUGACCAUCAAAAGUUCUCUAGGAAAACUGUCAGAAAAAUUUGUGUAGAAUUCCUAAAAUUUUUUAAGAGCAGGGUGGAAUUUGCGUUCUCCAAAAUGGCGGGAAAAAUACAUACAGGGACAAAGAGAGCUCGGUACGGGUUAGGUUAGUAUUAUGUUGUACACUGAGUCCACGUAUUCAAAAGAAGUUGCUCGAUUUUUAUCGCUUGCCAAAAAUCUUUUCGCGCGCAACGAGAAUACGCUAUCGGUAGGGGAUGAUUCACGCACACAGAGAACGUUCAUCUGGAAAGAGACGUAACGAAAGGCCGUGUACAUGGGAAGCAACGGUCGGCACGAUUGUUUCAUCCCGAGAAUGAUAUUCACGGGCCGCCACACCGAGCCGCGUAAAAGGACCCCGGAGCUUCCAACAGCUUCUCUCUGCCGUCUCUUUCUGUCUCCUCCCCCGGACCUCUCUCGCAUUUGCCCGCGUUCUCCCGUAUUUUUUAGCAAGAGAAAUAGCAUAAGGUUUACCCUGAAAAUACAUCGUGGCUCCGGCAUCAUGCAAUUAAACGUGAGUACGUCGGAGCGCGAGAAAAGGGUGGGAAAAACGAGCAAAAAAGGCUUCUGGUAUAGAGAGGAGGAUGCUGAUAAGGUUGCGGAAAAUAUCUGUUGUCGUGAUAAAUCACCUCAAAUUGUCCUUGGUUUGUUCGUGACGAUAUGCAACUCUUCUAUGUAGAUGUUACUGAUGUUAAUUUUCUGCGCCUGUUAGAACUGAUUGUCUGUGCAGUUUUUUGAGCGAGUUUACUGUAAAUUGAUUCUAGGAGUAAUGUUGAUUAGACUUGUGUUAUGUGAGAUUGGAUGGAUCAAGUUUGCUGAGGUUUGGACUGAAUGAAGUUUGGAUUGCAUUUAACCUACACCUCACUGAGCAAGAUGGUGGAUAGCUAAAGAAGUUAGAAGAGUAUAUUUAAAUUAGAUCUAAGUCAAGAUAUUAUGUGAGAUUGGAUGGAUCAAGUUUGCUGAGGUUUGGACUGAAUGAAGUUUGGAUUGCAUUUAACCUACACCUCACUGAGCAAGAUGGUGGAUAGCUAAAGAAGUUAGAAGAGUAUAUUUAAAUUAGAUCUAAGUCAAGAUAUUAUGUGAGAUUGGAUGGAUCAAGUUUGCUGAGGUUUGGACUGAAUGAAGUUUAUAUUGUAUUUAACCUACACCUCACUGAGCAAGAUGGUGGAUAGCUAAAGAAGUUAGAAGAGUAUAUUUAAAUUAGAUCUAAGUCAAGAGAGUGCCGGGAGUUUUAGAGGUGCCGCAGUUGACCCCCCUAAUGCAUGGAAAAAAAGGAAACGUGUUCAACAGGUGUACGAAUUUGA
rnacentral:lncRNA from 1 species